UACGUAGGAGACGAGCGUUGUCCGGAAUUACUGGGCGUAAAGCGCGUGUAGGCGGAUGAGCAAGUCUGCUGUGAAAGCUCCUGGCUUAACCGGGAGUGGUCGGUGGAAACUGCUCGUCUGGAGGACGGUAGAGGUAGGUAGAAUUCCCGGUGUAGUGGUGAAAUGCGUAGAGAUCGGGAGGAAUACCUGUGGCGAAGGCGGCCUACUGGGCCGGACCUGACGCUGAGACGCGAAAGCUAGGGGAGCAAACGGG
rnacentral:rRNA from 1 species